rnacentral:rRNA from 1 species
UACGAAGGGGCUAGCGUUGCUCGGAAUCACUGGGCGUAAAGCGCACGUAGGCGGCUUUUAAGUCAGGGUGAAAUCCUGGAGCUCAACUCCAGAACUGCCUUUGAUACUUGAGAAGCUUGAGUCCGGGAGAGGUGAGUGGAACUGCGAGUGGUAGAGGUGAAAUUCGUAGAGUAUUACGCAAGAACACCAGUGGCGAAGGCGGGAUCUCUGGGCCGUAACGUGACGCUGAGGAGCGAAAGCGUGGGAGCGAACGAGG